GACGUAGGGCGCGAGCGUUGUCCGGAUUUAUUGGGCGUAAAGAGCUCGUAGGCGGCUCAUUGCGUCAGCCGUGAAAACCAGCAGCUCAACUGUUGGCUUGCGGGUGAUACGGGUGGGCUGGAGUUCGGUAGGGGAGACUGGAAUUCCUGGUGUAGCGGUGAAAUGCGCAGAUAUCAGGAGGAACACCGGUGGCGAAGGCGGGUCUCUGGGCCGAUACUGACGCUGAGGAGCGAAAGCGUGGGGAGCGAACAGG
rnacentral:rRNA from 1 species